rnacentral:rRNA from 1 species
UGGCUCAGGAUGAACGCUGGCGGCAGGCUUAACACAUGCAAGUCGAGGGGCAGCAUGGGCAUAGCAAUAUGCCUGAUGGCGACCGGCGCACUGGUGAGUAACACGUAUGCAACCUGCCCCGUACAGGGGGAUAAUCCAGAGAAAUUUGGUCUAAUACCCCGUAGUCCCCGAGAGGGCAUCCUCCCGGGGGGAAAGCUCCGGCGGUACGGGAUGGGCAUGCGGCGCAUUAGCUUGUUGGCGGGGCGACGGCCCACCAAGGCGACGAUGCGUAGGGGUUCUGAGAGGAAGGUCCCCCACACUGGUACUGAGACACGGACCAGACUCCUACGGGAGGCAGCAGUGGGGAAUA